rfam:Triticum urartu cultivar G1812 contig686104, whole genome shotgun sequence.
CAUCUACUCCCUCCAUUCCAAAUUACUCGUCGCGGAAAUGGAUGUAUCUAGAACUAAAAUACAUCUAGAUACAUCCAUACCCGCGACAAGUAAUUCGGAACGUAGGGAGUACUAG